GAGUUUGAUCUUGGCUCAGAUUGAACGCUGGCGGCACGCCUAACACAUGCAAGUCGAGCGGUAACAUGAUCUGUAGCAAUACAGAUUGAUGACGAGCGGCGGACGGGUGAGGAACACGUAGGAAUCUACCUUAGAGAGGGGGACAACCAAGGGAAACUUUGGCUAAUACCGCAUAAUCUCGAGAGAGAAAAGCUGCCCGCAAGGGUGGCGCUUUAAGAGGAGCCUGCGUCCGAUUAGCUAGUUGGUGAGGUAAAGGCUCACCAAGGCGAUGAUCGGUAACUGGUCUGAGAGGACGACCAGUCACACUGGGACUGAGACACGGCCCAGACUCCUACGGGAGGCAGCAGUGGGGAAUAUUGGACAAUGGGCGCAAGCCUGAUCCAGCCAUGCCGCGUGAGUGAUGAAGGCCUUAGGGUUGUAAAGCUCUUUCAGUGGGGACGAUAAUGACGGUACCCACAGAAGAAGCCCCCGGCUAA
rnacentral:rRNA from 1 species